ACAAAGCCAUGAGACACGAGUAGUACUGAAACCAUAAAGGUUACCAGAUACUCCCCAAGUACCACAGAGCAGGAACGUUUUGUGCGUAAAUGGACCUACAGGUCUAGGAAUCACUGUGGGGUGGUUAGAAAUGAGUUCUGGGAAGACCAUGUGUCAUGGAUAGAUGUGGGUGUCAUCAGGACAGAAGCUAAGGCCUGCCCCUGUCUCCAGUGUGCACUAUGCACGGACCAUUGAGAUAUCUCAGUCUCCUUUGCAUACUCAGAUUAUAGACCCCGGUCUCCGAUUUGCAGUAACAUCUUCUGCUGUGACCACAGGAAAAGACUCUCAAAGCAAAUGGCAGCUGACAUGACUAGUUCGUGCUCUGAGCCACCAAUGUGGCCCCUACCUCUAGCUCUGCAUAAAACCCAGCUGGGAAGACACCCCUUCUAUUCAUUCAAAUUCUCAGUAAGACCCUGGCUGCCAGAGCCAAGAGUACAUUCACUUCUGACAUAGUAGAGGCUUAUUUCGCCACUGCAUUCUUAUUGUGACUACUCUUGGUUUUUGCUUUUCAGUAUUUUCCAGUAUGCUUUAUGCCCUCCCAAAAUUUCAUAGCUUCCAAUUCCUACACACACACACACGAGAGAGAGAGAGAGAGAGAGAGAGAGAUUCCUUCAACCACUUUGAGCUAUCUCCCUAUGUGUAUUCUCACACAGACGUUCACUUGUAUCUUCUUUGAUAGAACCUUAGUGCAGACUGUCAAAGGUUAUUAACAUUUUGUUCAUUUUGAACCCAUAGUGAGUAUUCUACCAUCGUGGCCUAGCCAUUGGAAAAAGUCCUUAACCUUUAUUAAGCAGAAUGUGGAGGGAUGAAAAGAACAAAUUCAUCACAACACCUAGAAUAGAAUUAGUCA
rnacentral:lncRNA from 1 species